rnacentral:tRNA from 1 species
UCCUCGGUAGCUCAAUUGGCAGAGCAAUCGGCUGUUAACCGAUUUGUUGUAGGUUCGAGUCCUACCCGGGGAGCCA